GCUUCGGUAGUUCAGUGGUAGAACGCUCGUAUUACAUUCUUGCCCGGUUCACGAUCGAGGGACCCGGGUUCGAUUCCCGGCCGAAGCA
rnacentral:tRNA from 1 species